GAGACCCGAGACUGAAGCAAGACAAGCGAACUUGUAAUCGCUGACGAUCUCGGAGCGAUAGGGAUGUGCGAUCGGCGCGUCUUGUGGACCAAUGCCACGCCAUCCUCUCAUUCCGAGCCCCUCUUCGUCCAUCACGGACCGGGGAUGGGAUGACGUACGAAACUUGGGCGUGGUAUGCGCCAAGGAUGUAUCGAAAUAAGAAGCGAGUGUGCCGUGCUCGAUGAGGGCGGUGCCUCGCAUGUGCAUCUUGAAAAACAAAAUGACUCUCGGCAACGGAUAUCUCGGCUCUCGCAUCGAUGAAGAACGUAGCAAAAUGCGAUACUUGGUGUGAAUUGCAGAAUCCCGUGAACCAUCGAGUCUUUGAACGCAAGUUGCGCCCGAGGCCACCAGGCUGAGGGCACGCCUGCCUGGGCGUCACGCCUCAUGCUGCCCCAACCGACGCCUUCCUCCUCGAGGCGAUCGUUUUGGGUGCGGAGAUUGGCCUCCCGUGCCUCUACGUGCGGUGGGCUGAAGAGUGGGCCACCGGUGCACGGUGCGGUGAGUCACGACGAGUGGUGGACAUAUGGGCGCCGAGUGCGCAAAUUAUUGCCAAAGCGUCGUGGCCGCAUCGUCGCACACCUCCACCAAAUGGCCCUCGAGACCUCAUCAUGGGUCAAGCUGAGCGGGCGUGGUGCUCGGUGCCAUCCGCCUCAGCAAGCAACAAUCCCUCGCAUUGCGACCC
rnacentral:rRNA from 1 species